rnacentral:rRNA from 1 species
UACGAAGGGGGGCUAGCGUUGUUCGGAAUUACUGGGCGUAAAGGGCGCGUAGGCGGUCCUUCAAGUCAGGCGUGAAAGCCCCGGGCUCAACCUGGGAACCGCGCUUGAGACUGGCGGGCUAGAGUUCGGGAGAGGAUGGUGGAAUUCCCAGUGUAGAGGUGAAAUUCGUAGAUAUCGGGAGGAACACCGGUGGCGAAGGCGGUUCUCUGGGCCUGUACUGACGCUGAGGAGCGAAAGCGUGGGGAGCAAACAGG